UACGGGGGGGGCAAGCGUUGUUCGGAAUUACUGGGCGUAAAGGGCUCGUAGGCGGCCAACUAAGUCAUCCGUGAAAUCCCUCGGCUUAACCGGGGAACUGCGUCUGAUACUGGAUGGCUUGAGUUCGGGAGAGGGAUGCGGAAUUCCAGGUGUAGCGGUGAAAUGCGUAGAUAUCUGGAGGAACACCGGUGGCGAAGGCGGCAUCCUGGACCGAUACUGACGCUGAGGAGCGAAAGCCAGGGGAGCAAACGGG
rnacentral:rRNA from 1 species